rnacentral:rRNA from 1 species
UACAGAGGUCUCAAGCGUUGUUCGGAUUCAUUGGGCGUAAAGGGUGCGUAGGCGGCGCGGUAAGUCGGAUGUGAAAUCCCGGGGCUUAACCCCGGAACUGCAUUCGAUACUGCCUGGCUCGAGUACUGGAGAGGAGACUGGAAUUUACGGUGUAGCAGUGAAAUGCGUAGAUAUCGUAAGGAAGACCAGUGGCGAAGGCGAGUCUCUGGACAGUUACUGACGCUGAGGCACGAAGGCCAGGGGAGCAAACGGG